ACGCUAGCUACAGGCUUAACACAUGCAAGUCGAGGGGCAGCAUUUCAGUUUGCUUGCAAACUGGAGAUGGCGACCGGCGCACGGGUGAGUAACACGUAUCCAACCUGCCGAUAACUCGGGGAUAGCCUUUCGAAAGAAAGAUUAAUACCCGAUGGCAUAAUUAGACCGCAUGGUCUUAUUAUUAAAGAAUUUCGGUUAUCGAUGGGGAUGCGUUCCAUUAGGCAGUUGGUGAGGUAACGGCUCACCAAACCUUCGAUGGAUAGGGGUUCUGAGAGGAAGGUCCCCCACAUUGGAACUGAGACACGGGCCAAACUCCUACGGGAGGCAGCAGUGAGGAAUAUUGGUCAAUGGACGAGAGUCUGAACCAGCCAAGUAGCGUGAAGGAUGACUGCCCUAUGGGUUGUAAACUUCUUUUAUAUGGGAAUAAAGUUUUCCGCGUGUGGAAUUUUGUAUGUACCAUAUGAAUAAGGAUCGGCUAACUCCGUGCCAGCAGCCGCGGUAAUACGGAGGAUCCGAGCGUUAUCCGGAUUUAUUGGGUUUAAAGGGAGCGUAGGUGGACAGUUAAGUCAGUUGUGAAAGUUUGCGGCUCAACCGUAAAAUUGCAGUUGAUACUGGCUGUCUUGAGUACAGUAGAGGUGGGCGGAAUUCGUGGUGUAGCGGUGAAAUGCUUAGAUAUCACGAAGAACUCCGAUUGCGAAGGCAGCUCACUGGACUGCAACUGACACUGAUGCUCGAAAGUGUGGGUAUCAAACAGGAUUAGAUACCCUGGUAGUCCACACAGUAAACGAUGAAUACUCGCUGUUUGCGAUAUACAGUAAGCGGCCAAGCGAAAGCAUUAAGUAUUCCACCUGGGGAGUACGCCGGCAACGGUGAAACUCAAAGGAAUUGACGGGGGCCCGCACAAGCGGAGGAACAUGUGGUUUAAUUCGAUGAUACGCGAGGAACCUUACCCGGGCUUAAAUUGCAUUUGAAUAAUCUGGAAACAGGUUAGCCGCAAGGCAAAUGUGAAGGUGCUGCAUGGUUGUCGUCAGCUCGUGCCGUGAGGUGUCGGCUUAAGUGCCAUAACGAGCGCAACCCUUAUCUUUAGUUACUAACAGGUCAUGCUGAGGACUCUAGAGAGACUGCCGUCGUAAGAUGUGAGGAAGGUGGGGAUGACGUCAAAUCAGCACGGCCCUUACGUCCGGGGCUACACACGUGUUACAAUGGGGGGUACAGAAGGCAGCUACCUGGUGACAGGAUGCUAAUCCCAAAAGCCUCUCUCAGUUCGGAUCGAAGUCUGCAACCCGACUUCGUGAAGCUGGAUUCGCUAGUAAUCGCGCAUCAGCCAUGGCGCGGUGAAUACGUUCCCGGGCCUUGUACACACCGCCCGUCAAGCCAUGAAAGCCGGGGGUACCUGAAGUACGUAACCGCAAGGAGCGUCCUAGGGUAAAACUGGUAAUUGGG
rnacentral:rRNA from 1 species